AAAGUCAGCUGGGUCUGCCUGUACCUCGUCAGCCUCUCUGGGCCUCUCUGGGCUCUUCCUGGGGCUUCCCCCAACGCGGCCUCCAACUGGCUCCCAGCAUCUGACGAAGGCGCCACGCUAAGUCUGGAAGAGCUGAGCAACAGGAACCGGGGCCUCCUUUUGCAGCAGGCACCAAGGGCCUUGCAAGGAGCCCAGCUGGACAGCAGUCUGAGCAAAGCAGGUCUUUGGCCGAGCAGCUUCACUUCA
rnacentral:lncRNA from 1 species